rnacentral:rRNA from 1 species
UGGUGGAGUGAUUUGUCUGGUUAAUUCCGAUAACGAAUGAGACUCUGUCCUGCUAACUAGGUUGUGUUUUCUCGGGUUGGUGUUUCUGGUGUUCCUUCUCGGGGCGCCGGCCCAAUCCACUUGUGAACACAACACUCUUCUUAGAGGGACUGGCGGCUGUUAGCCGCACGAGAUAGAGCAAUAACA